GAUGAACGCUGGCGGCGUGCCUAAUACUUGCAAGUCGAGCGAACAGACGAGGAGCUUGCUCCUCUGACGUUAGCGGCGGACGGGUGAGUAACACGUGGAUAACCUACCUAUAAGACUGGGAUAACUUCGGGAAACCGGAGCUAAUACCGGAUAACAUGUUGAACCGCAUGGUUCAACAGUGAAAGACGGUUUUGCUGUCACUUAUAGAUGGAUCCGCGCCGCAUUAGCUAGUUGGUAAGGUAACGGCUUACCAAGGCAACGAUGCGUAGCCGACCUGAGAGGGUGAUCGGCCACACUGGAACUGAGACACGGUCCAGACUCCUACGGGAGGCAGCAGUAGGGAAUCUUCCGCAAUGGGCGAAAGCCUGACGGAGCAACGCCGCGUGAGUGAAGAAGGUCUUCGGAUCGUAAAACUCUGUUAUUAGGGAAGAACAAAUGUGUAAGUAGCUAUGCACGUCUUGACGGUACCUAAUCAGAAAGCCACGGCUAACUACGUG
rnacentral:rRNA from 1 species